rnacentral:rRNA from 1 species
GUGCCAGCAGCCGCGGUAAGACAGAGGUCCCGAGCGUUGUUCGGAUUCAUUGGGCGUAAAGGGUGUGUAGGAGGUUGGGUAAGUCAGGUGUGAAAUCUCGGAGCUUAACUCUGAAACUGCGCUUGAUACUGCUCAGCUAGAGGAUCGGAGGGGGUAACGGAAUUCAUGGUGUAGCAGUGAAAUGCGUAGAUAUCAUGAGGAACACCGGUGGCGAAGGCGGUUACCUGGAAGAUUCCUGACUCUGAAACACGAAAGCCAGGGGAGCAAACGGGAUUAGAUACCCCCGUAGUCC